GAAAAAAAUUGGGUUCAGUGUCCCUUUAAGGAGGCUUUGGCUACCUUGGAUGACCCAGAUUCUACUAUUUUUGUUAACCCUAACAAGUAAGCAUUUUUAUGUUCCCUCUGCGGUGGAGGAAUUUCCUGUUCCAGACCGUGCUUCUGAGAUUAUUGCACGGGAGUGGGAGAGACCUGGUAUUCCUUUUUCUCCAUCUCCUAUUUUUAAGAAAAUGUUUCCUAUAGCUGACUCUAUUAAGGAGUCGUGGCAAACAGUUCCUAAGGUGGAAGGAGGUAUUUCCACUUUGGCUAAGAGGACCACUAUUCCGAUAGAGGAUAAUUGUUCUUUUAAGGAUCCAAUGGAUAAGAAAUUUAAGGCAUUAUUAAAGAAAAUGUAUGUUCACCAAGGUCUUCAAUGGCAGCCUGCAGUGUGUAUUGCUACUGUUGCCAGCGCUGCAGCUUACUGGUUUGAUGCCUUGUCUGAUUCUAUUCAGACAGAUACUCUUCUUGAGGAGAUCCAGUACAGGAUUAAUGCUCUUAAGUUAGCCAAUUCCUUUAUUACGGAUGCUUCCUGUCAGGUCAUUAAACUGGUAGCAAAAAUGUCUGGUUUUGCGGUACUAGCUCGCAGAGCCCUUUGGUUAAAAUCCUGGUAUGCGGAUGUUUUUUUAUAAGUUAUUAGCUAUUCCCUACAAGGGUAAGACCUUGUUUGGGCCUGGUUUGGCUGAAAUUAUUUCAGAUAUCACAGGAGGAAAGGGAUAUUUUCUUCCUCAGGAUAAGAAUAAGCAGAAAGGGCGUCAGAGUAAUUUCCGUUCCUUUCGUAACUUUAGAGGUAAACCCUCCACUUCCUCUUCCAUGCAGGAACUAUCCAAGUCUUCCUGGAAGUCUGGUCAGUCUUGGAACAAGGGGAAACAGUCUAAGAAACCUGUUGCUGACUCCAAGUCAGCAUGAAAGGUCUGCCUCAGAUCUAGGAACGGAUCUAGUAGGGGGCAGGGUUUCUCAAUUUGCUCAGGCUUGGAUACGAGAUGUCCCAGACCUGUGGGCCGUGAAAAUUGUAUCUCAGGGGUACAAGUUAGAAUUCUAGACUUUUCCUCCCAGAGGCAGGUUCCUUCUCUCAAGGUUAUCUGUAGACCAGAUAAAGAGAAAGGCAUUCUUAAAUUGUAUCAAGGAUCUUUUUGUCCUGGGAGUCAUAGUUCCAGUUCCUCCGCAGAAACAGGGUCUGGGAUUUUAUUCAAAUCUGUUUGUGGUUCCCAAGAAAGAGUGGACUUUUAGACCUAUUUUAGACCUAAAGUGUUUAAACAAGUUCCUCAGAGUACAGUUCUUCAAGAUGGAGACUAUACGUUCCAUUCUUCCCUUGGUUCAAGAGGGUCAGUUCAUGACAACCAUAGACCUAAAGGAUGCAUACCUCUUCAUGUUCCCAUCCACAGGGAUCAUCACAAGAUUCUGAGAUUUUUUUUUCCAGACAAGCACUUUCAGUUUGUGGCUCUUCCAUUUGGCCUUGCCACAGCUGCCAGAAUUUUCUCAAAGGUCCUGGGGGCUCUGUUGGCGGUAAUCCGGUCUCGGGGCAUUGCAGUGGCGCCACAUCUGGACGACAUUCUGGUUCAGGCGCCGUCUUUUCAACAAGCAAACUCAUACGGAGAGCUUGUUGUCUUUUCUUUGCUCCUGCGGUUGGAAGGUGAAUUUGGGAAAGAGUUCUCAGAUUCCAGCUACAAGAGUAGUGUUUUUAGGGACCAUAAUAGACUCCCUACUAAUGAAGAUAUUUCUGAAAGAGGUCAGAAAAACAAAGAUUUCCGUCUCUAUCUCCUCUCCUUGGCCGUCAGUGGCUCUAUGUAUGGCGGUAAUUGGUCUGAUGGUAGCUUUGAUGGAUCUGUCUCCGCAAAUAGUUCUGGAUCAGGCGACAAGGGAUUCUCUUCUGCUUUAGCAGACUUUCCUGGGUGAUCGUGACCAUAGAUGCAAGCCUUCUAGGUUGGGGAGCAAUUUGGGGGUCAUUGAAGACUCAGGGUCUUUGGACUCGGGAGCAGUCAGUCCUCCCUAUAAACAUUCUAGAACGGAGAGCGAUUUUCAAUGCUCUACUGACCUGGCCUCAGUUAGCCUUAGCCUGGUUUAUCAGGUUCCAGUCGGACAACAUAACAUCGGUGGCAUACAUCAACCACCAGGGGGGGGACUCAGAGUUCCUUGGCCAUGACAGAGGUGGCCUGGAUAAUCCAGUGGGCGGAGUCUCACAACUGUUGCCUUUCUGAGAUCCACAUCCCAGGAGUGGGCAAUUGGGAGGCGGAUUUUCUGAGCCGACAGACCUUUCAUCUGGGGGAUUGUUAACUCCAUCCGGAAGUAUUUUCCAGUUUAAUCCUCAAUUGGGGGCAGCCAGAAAUGGAUCUCAUGGCUUCUCGGCAGAAUGCCAAGCUUAUGAGGUAUGGCUCAAGGUCAAGGGAUCCACAGGCUUUCUUGAUAGAUGCUCUGGCGGUCCCUUGGAAUUUCAGUCUAGCAUACAUAUUUCCUCUGUUUGCUUUCCUGUCAAGAGUCUUUGCUUGAAUCAAGCAGGAGAGGGCGUCAGUGAUUUUCAUAGCACCGGCGUAGCCUCGCAGGAUCUGGUAUGCAGAUCUAGUGGAAAUGUCGUCUCUAUCUCCGUGGAAACUACCUCUGAAGAAGGACCUUCUACUUCAGGGUCCCUUUCUUCAUCCAAAUCUCGUUUCUCUGAAGCUGACUGCUUGGAGAUUGAAUGCUUAAUUUUAUCUAAGCAUGGGUUUUCAGAGUCGGUCAUUGAGACCAUGAUUCAGGCUCGUAAGCCUGUGACAAGAAAUAUUUACUAUAAGAUAGGACAUAAAUAUCUGUAUUGGUGUGAAUCUAGAGGCUACUCUGAAAGGUCGGAUUUCUGCGUUGUCUAUUUUGUUGCAUAAUCGUUUGGCGGAUGCCCAGAUAUGCAAUCUUAUUGUAAGGCCUUGGUUAGGAUUAGGCCUGUGUUUAAGUCAGUUACUCCUCCCUGGAAUCUUAACCUUGUUCUUAGAGUUUUACAGCGGGCUCCGUUUGAACCUAUGCAUUCCUUAGAUAUUAAGAUGUUAUCUUAGAAGGUUUUGUUUAAUGUUGCUAUUUCUUCUGCUCGGAAAGUUUCGGAACUCUCGGCUCUGUAGUUUGAUUCUCCUUAUCUUAUUUUUCAUUCUGAUAAGGUGGUUCUAAGUAUUAAAUUAGAUGUUGUGCGUGCAUUGAAGUUUUAUCUUCAGGCGACUAAGGACUUUUGUCAGUCUUCUGCUUUUUUUUUUCUGGGAAGCACAAGGGUCAGAAAGCUACGACUACUUCUCUUUCUCUUUUGGCCUAUGAGACUGCUGGACAGCAACCUCCUGAGAGAAUCACUGCUCAUUCCACAAGGGCUGUUUCUUCUUCUUGGGCAUUUAAAAAUUAAGCUUCUAUGGAACAGAUUUGCAAGGCUGCAACUUGGGCCUCUUUGCAUACUUUUUCAAAGUUUUAUCAAUUUGAUACUUUUACCUAAGCUGCGGCUUCUUUUGGGAGAAGGGUUCUUCAGGCAGUGGUGCCUUCUGUUUAGGUCUACCUGUCUUGUCCCUCCCUUAUUAUCUGUGUCCUCUAGCUUGGGUAUUGAUUCCCACUAGUAAUUGAUGAUUCUGUGGACUCACCAUAUCUUAGGAAAGAAAACAUAAUUUAUGCUUACAUAAUAAAUGUAUUUCCGGACAUGGUGAGUCCAUGGCCCACCCUUUAUUUAAGACAUUUAUUUUUUCUAAAACCUCAGGCAACUCUACACUUUUGUGUUAUCUUUUUUUCCCAUUUUUCCUUCGGCCGAAUGACUGGGGAUUAUGGGUAAGGGAAGUGACAUAUAUAGCAGUUUUGCUGUAGUGCUCUUUGCCUCCUCCUGCUGGCCAGGAGUGAUAUUCCCACUAGUAAUUGAUGAUUCUGUGGACUUACCAUAUCCGGAAAUAAAUUUAUCAGGUAAGCAUAAAUUAUGUUUUUCUGGAUUAUUUACAAAAUGUCAAUCCAACAUACUGCAUGCAACGGAAUUAACCUUCUAUUGUUUAGAUAAAUUUCACAGGGAAAUUUAUGUUUUUAACCUUUUGGAACAUGUUACAGCUGAUUUUGCUGUAGAGAAUUUAGCACAGUUUAUGUGGAAAUAACAUAUAUAUAGGGAAAAAAAAAACUUUGGAGCACAUUUAUUUUGUAAUUUUAAAGGGUUUUAAAUGUUUGUGAAUAUUGUUGUUUGUUUUUUCUUGCAUAUGGUAAUAUUUGUGAAUGCUGUGCAAGUCUAUUAAUUUAAUUGAGAUUUAGUGCUUGUGAUUUAAUUAUUUAAAUGGAGAAAUGAUUCUAGCUUUUUAUUUUUGUCUUGCAGUCAGACCUGUUUGUUAUUAAAGUAUGAUGUUAUUAGCAA